GAUGAACGCUAGCUACAGGCUUAACACAUGCAAGUCGAGGGGAAACGAUAGAGAAAGCUUGCUUUUUCUAGGCGUCGACCGGCGCACGGGUGAGUAACGCGUAUCCAACCUGCCCACCACUUGGGGAUAACCCUGCGAAAGUAAGACUAAUACCCAAUGAUAUCUCAAGAAGACAUCUGAAUGAGAUUAAAGAUUUAUCGGUGAUGGAUGGGGAUGCGUCUGAUUAGCUUGUUGGCGGGGUAACGGCCCACCAAGGCGACGAUCAGUAGGGGUUCUGAGAGGAAGGUCCCCCACAUUGGAACUGAGACACGGUCCAAACUCCUACGGGAGGCAGCAGUGAGGAAUAUUGGUCAAUGGGCGAGAGCCUGAACCUGCCAAGUAGCGUGCAGGAUGACGGCCCUAUGGGUUGUAAACUGCUUUUAUAAGGGAAUAAAGUGAGUCUCGUGAGACUUUUUGCAUGUACCUUAUGAAUAAGGACCGGCUAAUUCCGUGCCAGCAGCCGCGGUAA
rnacentral:rRNA from 1 species